CAGCAGCCACGGUAAUACGGAGGGUGCAAGCGUUAAUCGGAAUUACUGGGCGUAAAGCGCACGCAGGCGGUCUGACAAGUCAGAUGUGAAAUCCCCGGGCUUAACCUGGGAACUGCAUUUGAAACUGUCAGGCUGGAGUCUUGUAGAGGGGGGUAGAAUUCCAGGUGUAGCGGUGAAAUGCGUAGAGAUCUGGAGGAAUACCGGUGGCGAAGGCGGCCCCCUGGACAAAGACUGACGCUCAGGUGCGAAAGCGUGGGGAGCAAACAGGAUUAGAUACCCCUGUAGUCCCUGUCUCUUAUAC
rnacentral:rRNA from 1 species